rnacentral:rRNA from 1 species
UACGUAGGGUGCGAGCGUUGUCCGGAAUUACUGGGCGUAAAGCGCGUGUAGGCGGUUGUUCAAGUCAGGUGUGAAAGCCUUGAGCUCAACUCAAGAAAUGCACUUGAUACUGGAUGACUAGAGGACCGGAGAGGAUAGUGGAAUUCCCAGUGUAGUGGUGAAAUACGUAGAGAUUGGGAAGAACACCAGUGGCGAAGGCGGCUAUCUGGACGGUUUCUGACGCUAAGACGCGAAAGCGUGGGGAGC